GGCGGAGCUGGGCGGUCCGCUUAACGGCGAGUACUGUCUGGCUCUGUCUUACUUCCUGGUGAGCCGUAAUGCCAUUAAUUUGGUGUUGCGGGGAAUUUGGACUGUUACUUUGAAAAAAUUAGAGUGUUUAAAGCAAGCUAACGCUUGAAUACAUUAGCAUGGAAUAAUGAAAUAGGACGUUCGAUCCUAUUUUGUUGGUUUCUAGGAUUGACGUA
rnacentral:rRNA from 1 species